rnacentral:rRNA from 1 species
UUCCGGUUGAUCCUGCCGGAGAUCACUGCUAUUGGGAUUCGACUAAGCCAUGCGAGUCGAGAGGGUUCGGCCCUCGGCUGACGGCUCAGUAACACGUGGAUAAUCUGCCCUUAGGUGGAGGAUAAUCUCGGGAAACUGAGGAUAAUACUCCAUAGAUCUAGGAUGUUGGAAUGCAUCUAGAUUGAAAGCUCCGGCGCCUAAGGAUGAGUCUGCGGACUAUCAGGUUGUAGUCAGGGUAAAGACCUGACUAGCCUACGACGGAUACGGGUUGUGAGAGCAAUAACCCGGAGACGAUAUCUGAGACACGAUAUCGGGCCCUACGGGGCGCAGCAGGCGCGAAAACUUCACACUGUGCGAAAGCGCGAUGAGGGAAUCCCAAGUGUUUGCUCGUAAGAGUAAACUGUUUCUUUGUUUAAAACGCAGAGAGAGUAAGGGCUGGGUAAGACGGGUGCCAGCCGCCGCGGUAAUACCUGCAGCUCAAGUGGUGAUCAUUAUUAUUGGGCCUAAAACGUCCGUAGCCGGUUUAGUAAAUGCCUGGGUAAAUCGUGUAGCUUAACUAUACGACUUCCGGGUAGACUGCUAAACUUGAGACCGGGAGAGGCUAGAGGUACUCCUGGGGUAGAGGUGAAAUUCUGUAAACCUAGGGGGACCACCAGUGGCGAAGGCGUCUAGCUAGAACGGGUCUGACGGUGAGGGACGAAGCCCUGGGGCACAAACCGGAUUAGAUACCCGGGUAGUCCAGGGUGUAAACGCUGCUUGCUUGAUGUUAGUUGGGCUCCGAGCCCAACUAGUGUCGGAGAGAAGUUGUUAAGCAAGCUGCCUGGGAAGUACGGUCGCAAGGCUGAAACUUAAAGGAAUUGGCGGGGGAGCACAGCAACGGGUGGAGCGUGCGGUUUAAUUGGAUUCAACGCCGGG